rnacentral:lncRNA from 1 species
UCAAAACUCAAAACCAAACUCAACUUAACCUUAAACCCUUCCAUGUUCCUUUCUCUUUAUGGCAUUCUUCAACACUCUUCACUCUCUUCUCUUCCUCUCUCUCCUCCUUCUCCUCUCUCCCCAUCUUUCUCUCUCCUCUUCCUCCUCCAUUCAUGACCUUCUCCGCUCAAAAGGCUUACCAGCUGGUCUCUUACCAGAAGAAGUAAAAUCCUACACUUUCUCAGAAAACGGUCACUUAGAAGUGUUUCUUGAAUCACCUUGUUUA